AUUGAACGCUGGCGGCAGGCUUAACACAUGCAAGUCGAGCGGGGUGAUGGUGCUUGCACUAUCACUUAGCGGCGGACGGGUGAGUAAUGCUUAGGAAUCUGCCUAUUAGUGGGGGACAACAUCUCGAAAGGGAUGCUAAUACCGCAUACGUAUUACGGGAGAAAGCAGGGGAUCACUUGUGACCUUGCGCUAAUAGAUGAGCCUAACUCGGAUUAGCUAGUUGGUGGGGUAAAGGCCUACCAAGGCGACGAUCUGUAGCGGGUCUGAGCGGAUGAUCCGCCACACUGGGACUGAGACACGGCCCAGACUCCUACGGGAGGCAGCAGUGGGGAAUAUUGGACAAUGGGGGGAACCCUGAUCCAGCCAUGCCGCGUGUGUGAAGAAGGCCUUAUGGUUGUAAAGCACUUUAAGCGAGGAGGAGGCUCUUUUGGUUAAUACCCAAGAUGAGUGGACGUUACUCGCAGAAUAAGCACCGGCUAACUCUGUGCCAGCCGCCGCGGUAA
rnacentral:rRNA from 1 species